rnacentral:rRNA from 1 species
UACGGAGGGUGCAAGCGUUAUCCGGAUUUACUGGGUUUAAAGGGUGUGUAGGCGGACUUUUAAGUCAGCGGUGAAAUCUCCGGGCUCAACCCGGAAACUGCCAUUGAUACUAUUAGUCUUGAAUAUUGUUGAGGUAGGCGGAACGGGUCAUGUAGCGGUGAAAUGCGUAGAGAUUGGAAAGAACACCGAUGGCGAAGGCACUUUACUGGGCUAUUACUAACACUCAGAGACGAAAGCUAGGGUAGCAAAUGGG